rnacentral:lncRNA from 1 species
GGUUCGUGUGGUUUAUUCUUUAGUUUUCUAUGCUGUGGCAUGUGUACUAUUGUUUGUCUGUUUGUCUUUUUCAUUUUUAGCCAUGGCGUUGUUAGUUUAUUUUCGAUUUAUGAGUUUGACUGUCCCUUUAGAAUCUCUCGUCCCUCUUUUACAUACCUUGCAUAUCUUCUAGAAGACAUUUAAAACUAUCUUUUGACAUUUGUUUACAUAAUGCUUCAAUCUCAGGUUCCAUCAUGAAGUUUAUGUUUAUGAUUUUUGAUUCUGAAGUGGUAUCUCGCUAAGCCUUAGCAAUAAAGGGAUAUCACUCCGUUUUGGUUUUUUGUUGCACUUUAGUGUUUCUGCUGUUUCGUUGUUUUCCUCAUAUAGUUGAUGUGUUUCCAUCGGUUUUAGUUUGUAAUACGGAUUUGUUUUUUCUCAAUCGAUU